UACGGAGGGGGCUAGCGUUGUUCGGAAUUACUGGGCGUAAAGCGCACGUAGGCGGCUUUGUAAGUUAGAGGUGAAAGCCCAGGGCUCAACCCUGGAAUUGCCUUUAAGACUGCAUCGCUUGAAUCAUGGAGAGGUGAGUGGAAUUCCGAGUGUAGAGGUGAAAUUCGUAGAUAUUAGGAAGAACACCAGUGGCGAAGGCGGCUCACUGGCCCGGUACUGACGCUGAGGCGCGAAAGCCAGGGGAGCAAACGGG
rnacentral:rRNA from 1 species